CCUACGGGAGACAGCAGUAGGGAAUAUUGCUCAAUGGGGGACACCCUGAAGCAGCAACGCCGCGUGGAGGAUGAAGGUUUUCGGAUUGUAACCUCCUUUUGUUAGAGAAGAUAAUGACGGUAUCUAACGAAUAAGCACCUGCUAACUCCGUGUCAGCAGCCGCGGUAAUACGGAGGGUGCAAGCGUUACUCGGAAUCACUGGGCGUAAAGAGCGCGUAGGCGGGAUAGUAAGUCAGACGUGAAAUCCUAUGGCUUAACCAUAGAACUGCAUUUGAAACUGUUAUUCUAGAGUAUGGGAGAGGUAGGCGGAAUUCGUGGUGUAGGGGUAAAAUGCGUAGAGAUCAAGAGGAACACUCAUUGCGAAGGCGACCUGCUAGAACAUAACUGACGCUGAUGCGCGAAAGCGUGGGGAGCAAACAGGAUUAGAUACCCUUGUAGUC
rnacentral:rRNA from 1 species